rnacentral:rRNA from 1 species
GGGCCUAACACAUGCAAGUCGAGCGAGAAAGCACUUCGGUGCGAGUACAGCGGCGGACGGGUGAGUAACGCGUAGGAAUCUACCCAGUAGUGGGGGACAACAGUUGGAAACAGCUGCUAAUACCGCAUACGCCCUACGGGGGAAAGCGGGGGACCUUCGGGCCUCGCGCUAUUGGAUGAGCCUGCGUCGGAUUAGCUAGUUGGUGGGGUAAAGGCCCACCAAGGCGACGAUCCGUAGCUGGUCUGAGAGGAUGAUCAGCCACACUGGGACUGAGACACGGCCCAGACUCCUACGGGAGGCAGCAGUGGGGAAUAUUGCGCAAUGGGGGCAACCCUGACGCAGCCAUGCCGCGUGUGUGAAGAAGGCCCUAGGGUUGUAAAGCACUUUCAAAAGCGAGGAAAAGCUCAUGGUUAAUAGCCAUGAGCCCUGACGUUAACUUUAGAACAAACACCCCCCAGCUCGUUGCCACCCCCCGCGGUCCUAUGUAGUGCACUAGCGUU